GAGAUGCUAUAGGGAAGAGACCUGACAGGACCACCUUUAGUCUGGGGCUGCUGGUGCCACGCGGGCAGGGCUGGUUGCUGCCAGACCUGAGAUCAGUGGAGUUCCCGGGUCUCCAUGGUAUCAGGCACUCCAUUGUGAUGACAAGUAGGAUGACCAAAAGUAUGCCAGUGGUUGAGGAAGAAGAAAAGGAGGAGGAGUGGAAGUGCAGUGAGGAGGCUCCACAGGAUCGCCUCCAGCCUGGGGCAGCUGGAUUGGCGAGACUGGUGAUGGUUGCUGCCCGGGCAGACAAGACAAGGAGAUAAACCAUGCUGAAGAAUGCCAUUAGCCCCACCUUCAGCUUGGGGUGCCUGGGCGUAUCUGAAAACCUUGGGAAAGUGUUCAUGUUUUCAUUUCUUACAAAAUGGAAGAAACAGCAGCUGCAGAUGCUCUUCCAGGCCUUCCAGCAGAACCUGGCACAGAGCAGAACCUGCUCUGUGACAUGUGGACUGAAGCCUGGGCCUGCAACCUUGGGCCAGGGCACCCGUGAAUGCAACCCUUUUCGUGGCCCCCUCUUUGGACUUGCUUCUUCCCUGGCUGGGCCAGAGUUCAGGCCUGCUCCUCUCUGGUAACUUAUGUUUCAAGCCUUGUUUUGUCUCCACUGGCUUUUGCAUCUGAGGACAACGGAGUUGGGGCUGUGUUACAUGGAUAUCUAAAGAGAUCCUACCUCUCGCCCUGAAUGUCCGAGAGACUGAUAGGUCUAUUCCAACACCAAGGUAGGAUUGUGACCUCUACCUAGGCUCAGCACACAGGCAUCAUGAUAUUUCUCAGAUGUGGAACCACCCAAUAAAAGAGAUUUUGAUUCUCAUAGAUAGGUUUAAAGUGAA